rnacentral:rRNA from 1 species
CAGUCGCCACGGUAAUACGAAGGGGGCUAGCGUUGUUCGGAAUUACUGGGCGUAAAGCGCACGUAGGCGGAUACUUAAGUUAGGGGUGAAAUCCCAGGGCUCAACCCUGGAACUGCCUUUAAUACUGGGUAUCUUGAGUAUGGAAGAGGUGAGUGGAAUUCCGAGUGUAGAGGUGAAAUUCGUAGAUAUUCGGAGGAACACCAGUGGCGAAGGCGACUCUCUGGUCUGUAACUGACGCUGAGGCGCGAAAGCGUGGGGAGCAAACUGGAUUAGAUACCCCGGUAGUCCCUGUCUCUUAUAC